rnacentral:rRNA from 1 species
UACGGGGGGAGCAAGCGUUGUUCGGAUUUACUGGGCGUAAAGGGCGCGUAGGCGGCCACUGCAAGUCAGUUGUGAAAUCUCCGGGCUUAACCCGGAAAGGUCAACCGAUACUGCAGGGCUAGAGUGCAGAAGGGGCAACUGGAAUUCUCGGUGUAGCGGUGAAAUGCGUAGAUAUCGAGAGGAACACCUGCGGCGAAGGCGGGUUGCUGGGCUGACACUGACGCUGAGGCGCGAAAGCCAGGGGAGCGAACGGG